AGCGAACGCUGGCGGCAGGCCUAACACAUGCAAGUCGAACGAAGUCUUCGGACUUAGUGGCGGACGGGUGAGUAACACGUGGGAACGUGCCUUUAGGUUCGGAAUAACUCAGGGAAACUUGUGCUAAUACCGAAUGUGCCCUUCGGGGGAAAGAUUUAUCGCCUUUAGAGCGGCCCGCGUCUGAUUAGCUAGUUGGUGAGGUAAAGGCUCACCAAGGCGACGAUCAGUAGCUGGUCUGAGAGGAUGAUCAGCCGCAUUGGGACUGAGACACGGCCCAAACUCCUACGGGAGGCAGCAGUGGGGAAUCUUGCGCAAUGGGCGAAAGCCUGACGCAGCCAUGCCGCGUGAAUGAUGAAGGUCUUAGGAUUGUAAAAUUCUUUCACCGGGGACGAUAAUGACGGUACCCGGAGAAGAAGCCCCGGCUAACUUCGUGCCAGCCGCCGCGGUAACUC
rnacentral:rRNA from 1 species